CAAAAUAAAGAGCCUUGAGUCC
rnacentral:miRNA from 1 species